AUAAUCUUCUCGAUUAAGAGAGGGCUCAGCAGGAUUCUCAGAAGCUAUUUUGGAACUCCAUGCCUUUCCUGUGCAUCGCUCAUUCUGCAAGGUUUCACAUGGGUCAUGAAAGAAGGUUCCUCAAAAAUAACACAGUCGGUUGCCCUGCUUUCUGGAAGAGCACCUUCCUUAGAAGCACAAAGAUCCUUUGGAGUCUGGGUUUGUGGGUCAAGGAAGGAUCUGCUGACUGUUUUAUGUCUUAUGGAUGGCACUGUUCCAUCUGCAGCAACAAAUGAACAAUCCAAUACUUUAGUUCAGGGAAACAGGUUGAGGGAUGAAAAUAAGGAAACCAUUACUUGAAGGCGAUAUUGAAUUGAUUACAUUGCUUUGUGGCAAAAAUGACAUGCCGGUAUUCAUGUUAACAAAGGGGAAUCUCUAAAGAACUUGUUACAACAGAGUCAUAAAACAUCAAAUUGAAGGCUUUUUUUCCCA